rnacentral:lncRNA from 1 species
AUCAGUUCUUGGUCUGCAGACCUUCUGGCUCUGGCUGCUUGCUUCCCUCGAAGCAUGAACCACGAUUCCAAUUUAGAAGGAAAGCUGAAAGGAGACAGCAAAGAUGGGCAGACGCUGGAUGGAGCAGGAGAACAUCUGGACCAUCACAGCUCCACAGUGCUUCACUUUGGGGACCACGGCUGCCUCUACUUCCCCACACUGCCCACGUCCCUGUGGCCCCGAGGAUGUGUCUUCCUGCCAUACAGGCUCCUUCCUCUGACAUCGCAAUCCUUGUUCAGGACUCUAAUGCCCCUCACUCUUGACAAAAACAUGUGUGUAUUUGUACAGCAGUGGCUUCCAGACACGCAGUACACAGUCGGAGCAGGCUGCAGCGAACUUUGUCAGUGUGUCUGUUGCUACCCUUUCUUUUCCCACUCAGGGUCCCAUUGUGCUCCUAUUCCUUUUUGCUGAUGGUGUAAAAAUUGAUGGCAAGUGGAUGAAGUGACCUGGAGCACUGUGAUUUCUACCGCAGCAUUUUUCUGCUUCAUAAAUCUGCUUCUUUUAGGCAAGUGUGACCCCGAGAGGGUCUAUGAUUUAGAAUUACAGUUUUACUACAGGAGUCUAUGUAGAUCAGCUGCCUCGCCCUGAUCCCUUGGUCUUUCAGUGGAUGCUGUUCCUAUUCUAUUUGUAUAUUUCAUGUGAAACCACUUCCAAGAUUUUUUGAAAGGAGAGACGCAACAAAUAAAUAAUAAGAAAAUAUCUGAGGCCACAAAGCACCAUCAUAUCAG